GAUGAACGCUGGCGGCGUGCCUAAUACAUGCAAGUCGAGCGAACAGACGAGGAGCUUGCUCCUCUGACGUUAGCGGCGGACGGGUGAGUAACACGUGGAUAACCUACCUAUAAGACUGGGAUAACUUCGGGAAACCGGAGCUAAUACCGGAUAAUAUAUUGAACCGCAUGGUUCAAUAGUGAAAGACGGUUUUGCUGUCACUUAUAGAUGGAUCCGCGCCGCUUUAGCUAGUUGGUAAGGUAACGGCUUACCAAGGCAACGAUGCGUAGCCGACCGGAGAGGGUGAUCGGCCACACUGGAACUGAGACACGGUCCAGACUCCUACGGGAGGCAGCAGUAGGGAAUCUUCCGCAAUGGGCGAAAGCCUGACGGAGCAACGCCGCGUGAGUGAUGAAGGUCUUCGGAUCGUAAAACUCUGUUAUUAGGGAAGAACAAAUGUGUAAGUAACUAUGCACGUCUUGACGGUACCUAAUCAGAAAGCCACGGCUAACUACGUG
rnacentral:rRNA from 1 species